rnacentral:lncRNA from 1 species
CAUCUCUUUUUCCAUCUACGAGAAGUAGGAGGAGGAGGAGGAGAAGAAUACGAGAAUGAGACACCAAAAACAAUCAAACGAUCCAAGAAAGAGUCACUAAUUGUAAGUGUUCUGAGAAGGAAGGAAUGAACGUACGAGAGAGGAGUAAUCUUUCGUCGAAGUGUACACCGUCGUGAGCCACGUUUCACUGAACAA